AGUAGAUAGAUGAAAAAUUAGGGUUUCAAAAAUCAGAAUUUCUUCGUCUCUGACAAAAAUUAGGUGAAGGCUAUGCUGUAUCAAAUCAAAAUUAAAGGGUUAGGUUCUGUAGGAGUUGUUCUUGAAGGUUGAGACCUUCAAUUUUUGGAAUCUGUUGAAAAAUUUGUUGGAGAUGAACAGAGAGAACAAAUUGGUUCAGAUUCAGGGUUUUCUAUUGAAUCCGAGAAUAAAUUGAGAUUAGCAGAGGCACGAUGAUUAUCAUGGGUUUCUGAUUAACUCUUUCUCGCAUCCAUGAUUCAUUGAAAACCCUGACUGGAUUUGGGUUUGGAGUUUUGUUCAAUCCUCGUCAUAUUCAACAACAUUUUGAUGAUUUCUAUGAAGAUUUGUUUGAUGAUCUGAGCAAGUACGGAGAUUGAAAGUAUUAAUAUCAAUGACAAUUUGGCUGAUCAUAUGGUGGGGAAUGUUUAUGUUCAAUUUAGAGAGGAAGAAGAUGUUGCUAAUACUCUUAAGAAUUUGACGGGAAGGUUUUAUGCAGGGCGUCCUACAUUAUUGUUGAUUUCUCUCUUGUGACGGAUUUUCGUGAAGCUACCUGUAGGCAGUAUGAAGAGAAUACUUGUAAUCGAGGUGGAUAUUAUAACUUUAUGCAUUUGAAGAAGAUUAGCAGGGAAUUGAGGCGGCAAUUAUUUGGUAGGUAUCGUUCAAGGCAUAUCCACAGUAGAAGCAUAAGCUGCAGUCCUCACAUGCAUCGAAGUUAUGAAGAGCGUUCAUAUGGUGGUCAUGGUUAUGAUAGAAGGUUUAGUGAUCGGGGUAUUAGGAGGACUAGGAGCCGAAGUCCCGGAAGGUGAAACAGGAAGCUGGGAUUGACAGAGACUGGUGCUGUUGAUGACUGAGAUGUGAUAGUGUGUAUGGGAAUUUCAGUGAUGGGUUGAGCUGGAACUGCAAUGCCAGCGAAGAAAUACCAGCCUUCUUCAGCUGUUAUUAGCUUUUUCACUGCAGUUGUUGUUGAGGUACUUGGUGCUUUGAAGGUUAUAGAUACUGAUACCGUGCGAAAUGUUAUCCCCUUUGUACUUAAUGGAGUUGAUCUAAAUGCGAAUGGAGGCUCUAACCAAAAGGUGUUAAUUUCUAAGUAACCUCCAACUGCAUCUAUCCAAUCUGGGCAAAAAGAAGACUACAAGUUGUGGAGAUUCAGGAUUUGCUGGUUUGCUUUACAAUUGUAUCCAAGACACAUUAGAACCAUUAGAUAGGACUUGUAGACUUGGAUAUUUUUUUUAAAGUUAAGUGCUAACUGAUGAAUUGUACAAUGAAUAUUGAUUUUUACAUAAAUGGUCAUUUGGAUUUAUGGA